AUAGCCCAAACAACCACCCCCUCUCUUUAUUUCAUUUCCAAACCCCUAACAAAAAACCCUAAACCACUUGCCCCCUCUUCUUGUCCUUCUCCAACGACCCCUCCAGCUCCCACGUCCAUGGCUGCCCUCCUUCUUCUUCUUCUCCGAACGACCCCUCCUUCUCCCUCGACAUCCAUGGCUGCCCUUCUUUUUCUUCGAACCAACGAACACCGGCGACUCCAUCAACUCGUCGACAGCCCGCCUCACGUCCACCAGCUUCGUCCAAACGACCACCUCCUCUCACACCAUCUCCAUCUUCGCUGCUUGUGGCGCAACACACAGCCUCCCCUCACUCUCAUUUCAUCUUGCGAAAAUGGUUCUUUCAAAUGAUUACGAUUUGUUGAACCCGCCAGCAGAUGUUGAAAAGAGGAAGCAUAAGCUCAAAACGUCUUGUUCAGUCUCCUAACUCUUUCUUCAUGGAUGUUAAGUGCCAAGGCUGCUUUAACAUAACAACUGUGUUCAGCCAUUCUCAGACGGUGGCUGUUUGCGGAAACUGCCAGACAGUUUUGUGCCAGCCUACUGGUGGUCGUGCUAGACUUACCGAGGGAUGUUCUUUCAGGAGAAAAUGAGGUUAGAGAGAUAACAUUCGAUUUAUAUUGAAAUGAAUCUUCAUAUGGGAACUUUGAUGC
rnacentral:lncRNA from 1 species